GUUGUUAAGGAAAGCUGCAAAUAGAUUGGACGAGUUUCAUCUUGGUCAGCUUUGUCGAAGAAUUUAUUCAAAUUGUCUUUUUUUUUAGCAUCUGCCGGUUCAACUCCACAAGCACAAGGCCCCACCAUAAGGCCAAGGAGCAACACAAUCUCAACCACACCUCAAAUGCCAAAUGUUGCAGGACAACAUCCUGUUGAUGUUGAGGUGUCAAGACUGUUUGCAAGCAGAUCAAGUAGAAGGCAUCCAAGACGCAGCAAUGCAACUGUCAGCCACCUCACAUAUAUACACAUCUUUUGUUGCCUUGGGCGAAAAGAUUCAACAUUUGUUCCAAGGCGACCAGAUAAGGACCGUCUUCAUAGGGCAGGACUGGGUGAGCGGCGCAUAUGUUUCCAAGGUGACUUUCGCAGCUGUCAGGAAUUAACAGAUUGUCUUUAUCAAAACUUUCCAAAGUUGAGGAAUGCAGGUGGCUAUGAGUUGCUCAAAACUUCUGAUAACACAAGGAACCGCCAGCUUUCUGUUAUACAGUGCCCAAAUGAAGGGUACACUGUGCAAUAUUUGAAGGAACCCACCACUAUGAUUCACCACUCUACAAUUUACAUCCGCCCUCUACAGUGCAAUAUCAGCUUGGAGCAGGAAGGGACUGAGGGACCUCCUAACACAUAUAUUGGACCACUCACACCAUGUCUUCUUUGUGGAGCAGAAAUUCCUUUUUCACAGAUAAGGCAACACAAUCAGUCUUAUUUAAGCUGGUCCUUCAACUGAUCUAAGCACACAGCAUAAUCCUCCAGAUAUUCAGAGGGACAUCAGAAAUGGUAAGUACCAUGUACAGGUUAGAAUUAGGACUCAAGUUUAUUACUCAAUAAACACGAUAGAACUCUGUUUAAAUCCAUGGCCACUAGGGUGCCACAUAAUGUUGGGCAGCUGCUUUCCAGUUAUCUCAAUUAUGAGAUCUGCAUCUCGCUAUUAUGGGUUUCUCAUUAGUUAACAUCAAGAUCUCGUAAUUAUGACAGUUGUUCUUGUAAUGACAAGGUUUUUGUAGUUGUUUAUUACUUUGAAUCCUAUGCGCUUCUAAAGUUAGUAGUAAAGGUGAGACAUGAAACUAUCUUUGAAAACACUACUUUUUCCUGUGUGUGUCUGUGUUGUCAGAAAAUAAAUGGAAAACCGGCAUGGUUGUAUGUUUCAUAAGUUUUGCUUGUUGAACAGGAGAUAGGCACCAUGUUUCAAAGUACCUUCUUUGGAUGAAGCAGGUUUAGAAAAUGGUUGGUUGGAAUGGAUGGUUGCAUAUAAUUUUGAUUUAUUUCUUUUUUUUGUAUAUAGAUUCAGAAAUUUUACUGCACUAAUCAGUUUGUAUACACUUUUUUGAUCAUGUUUCUUUCAAGCUUGGAUUACAGAAGUAGUUCCAGCUAAAGCGUCUGAGCUGUACAUUGAGUCAGUACGUGAAGCAAACAAGGAUAGAGAAAGUCUUUCAUUUACCCUGAGUUUAAGGGAUACCCUGAAGGAAAGGAACCGUGCCAUUGUGAGAUUCUACAAAAGGUCACGGGUGCAGUGGACUAACCCACUGCAAUGUCAUCUCAUAGGUAAAACAGUCAUUUAUUUAAAAAAAACUCUGUCAACUCCUCCAACUGCCCUUAUAAACCACACUGUUUUACAUCCAAAACGAAAUUAGUCCAGUCUUGACUCUUCAACUGGAUGGAGACAUAAUGUUGCGCAAGAUUUGGCUUUCAUUUUUGGAGGUGAUGCUGCCAUUGGAGAGGGUGUUAAUAGACAUGUCCUUUUAAUAGUCAUGUCAAACCUUCAGAAUGGAUUCUUGCUUGAUGACGAAACUGGUAUGGUUAUUCAUUUUUUCAUUUUCUUGAAUUGGCAGCUAUGGAGAUUGUUCAGAAAAACCUGUUUAUGUUAAUAUUAUCAAUUGUUGUUUGACAGAUGUGAAGACAUUGCUGUUUGAAGGUGAGCUGGACCAUCUCACUCCUUCUACAUCGAGGUUGCUUCUAGAAAGCGACCUUUUUGUGGUGGCGGGUCGCAUUAUCGGCCACAGCUUUCUGAAUGGUGGUCCUCGUCUGGUUGGCCUCAGCCAAGGAAUCAUCCAUGUGCUGUUUGGAGGGGACCCAGAAACAGCCACUGUAACUGAGUCUGAUUGUGCAGACCAAGAUGUCCGUGAGGUCAUAACAAUGUGAUUACUUAGUUACAGGGAACCAAGGAUUUGUCAGAGGAGGAGAAAUCCAUGGUUCUCUCUUUGACGUUGCCAUGGGAUCUUCCUGGAGUUACAGUCAAUAACAGACAUUGGCUCGAAGAAAAAAUACUCCUCCAUGCUGUUUUGGAAAGAACAAAACAACAGGUCAAACAAAUCCGAAGAGGGCUGAAAGACAGGUGUGUGGGAAUUUUUUAGUUCCAGGCCUGAUGCUGUACCAGUACUUUUUCCAAGGGCCAGAGAGGCAGAGAUAACACCACAGAUGGUAAUCAAUAACAUAAACUGGCCUAAGGAUGAAGAUAUAGAUGAGGACACACUCUCGUUGGAGGAUCACUGUUUGAUCAUGAGCUUCCUCCGAAGAUUCAUAGAAAAUGGAACGCCAGACAGGCUCAAGAAUUUACUAACAUUCUGGACAGGCUGGGGUAUGCUAUGCUCCAAUCUCCAGGUCGAAGUUAUUGACUGCAGUCUCCCACAGUCAUCCACUUGCUUCCUGACUCUGAAGCUAUCCAAAAACCACAAAAACUAUGAAGACUUCCACCAAGACCUUAUGGCAAGCAAUUCUUCGGCCUACUCUGGUUUUGGUCAGAUUUAAGCCGGGCCAUUUAAACAUUGUGUAACAAGUUUAUCAAUUGCAGAAUGUUCUAUGUUGUUGGUUAUCAGAAUGACUAUUAUUAAACUGUUCUUACGGUUCUGUCUCUUGAUAGACAUGGAUAUUCUGGAUCCAUUUAAUACCAAGAAGUAAGAGGAUAAUCUGCUUGUUAAUUAUGUACUUUGACAGUUCUCAGCAUUGUUGUUCAGAUCAACUAUAAAAACACUUUCAUAUUAUUGUAGGACAUUUUCUGUUGAUGCGUACUCAUGUAUUAGCUGUUAUCUGGUUUCCCAAAUAACAGAAUCACCAACUAUGUUCCUGAAAAUGUUUGUUAAAACAAUAAGAGAUUAGACCAACAAAGUAAUUACAAACUGUUAAAUGUGAUGUUAUCAACAAAUUCUUAAUGAAAACUGAAAUGGUAUCAUAACAGUGAUUUUAUUACAAUAUACAAAUCUGUGUAAAACAGGUCAAUGUUCAGAUGUUUAGAUACAAGAUGUCUAACCUAAUAUAUUGUAUGUUCACGGCAAAUAUCGAAUGUAACAGGUAUACCACAAUGUAUUGUUCUGCUGUCCGAAUUAAAAACAUAAAAAUUUGAAAGAAAAAAA